AAAGUUUAGUUUAUAUAAAACAUUAACAUUGGAAGUUAAAUAAAAACCUUUGAAGUUUUUAAGCUUUU